GAUGAACGCUGGCGGCGUGCCUAAUACAUGCAAGUCGAGCGAACGGACGAUAAGCUUGUUUCUUUGAUGUUAGCGGCGGACGGGCGAGUAACACGUGGAUAACCUACUUAUAUGACUGGGAUAAUUUCGGGAAACCGUAGCUAAUACCGGAUAAUAUUUUGAACCGCAUGGUUCAAAAGUGAAAGACGGUCUUGCUGUCUCUUAUAGAUGGAUCCGCGCUGCAUUAGCUAGUUGGUAAGGUAACGGCUUACCAAGGCGACGAUGCAUAGCCGACCUGAGAGGAUGAUCGGCCACACUGGAACUGAGACACGGUCCAGACUCCUACGGGAGGCAGCAGUGGGGAAUCUUCGGCAAUGGGCGAAAGCCUGACGGAGCAACGCCGCGUGAGUGAUGAAGGUCUUCGGAUCGUAAAGCUCUGUUAUUGGGGAAGAACAGAUGUGUAAGUAACUGUGCACAUCUUGACGGUACCUAAUCAAAAAGCCACGGCUAACUACGUG
rnacentral:rRNA from 1 species